GUGCUCGCUUUGGCAGCACAUAUACUAAAAUUGGAAGGAUCCAGAGAAGAUUAACAUGGUUUCUGCACAAGAAUGAUACACAAAUCUGUGAAGUGUUCCAUGUUAAA
rnacentral:snRNA from 1 species